GGUCCACAGGGAAAUGUGUUGUUUCUUGUGAAAAGCUUAAGUAAACGCUUUCACACUGUUUUUCCCACCACUCUUAGUAAUUUUGCGACUCCCAGUUGACAAGUUUGUAGACUCAACUAAAGGUUUAUCCUAAGUGUGUUGUCAGGGAGUCAUUUUACCUAUCUGUUACAAACAAUUUAAUUUAAAAUGAGGGUGUUACUUUUUUUUUUUUCUGUGUGUGUUUACUUGACUGAGUAUUCAACCUGUGUGGUGAAUCGGUCUGCCUUGUUAUAUUCCCAAGUUCUCCAUUCAUGUCUGACAGCAUCAGCGGUGUUACGACAAACGAGAGGAAUCCCUAGAGUUAAAUAACCAGCUUAAAUGGAGGGGUAGCACCUCGGGUUUCCUGUGCACCUAAUGAGAAGGCAAUACUAAACGUGCUGUGAAUGCCUGUGAACAGAGCUGACUGGUGUAAGGUGAGAGCUAAUCAGGCCCUUUCCAUGCUCUAACAACCCUGUGUGCCUUCAACAAUUACAGUGCUGAGGAUUAGUGAGUUGCGCAGAAACACACAAUAAUGUCAAACUGCAAUGAUUAAUUUGAAACGAUGGUUCCUCUUGGUUGCCUCUGCCGAAAAGCACAUGGUGCAUUUGUAUGCAAAUGAAAGUUAGUAGCAGUCCUGAUGCUGGUAGAGUUGUGAGCUGUGGUUGAAGCAAGACUUUUUAACAUUUGUUUAACUGGGAAGUGUUACAGCUGUGUACCAAUGUGGUAUAUCUUAUUUUGCCAUGUUAUCUAUUGCAGAGCGGAGACAGACUGAACACGGAUCUGGUGGAAUUUCUACUUUCAUUAAUCCUUACAAAAACCAACAUGUGAUUUUGUUUUUUACAAGGCAUCUGUUUCUUGGCUAACCAAUGAUAUAUGUUAAUCUCUGAGCUUUAGAAGAACUGCUAGGGGGAGUUGGACAGAACCAGGCUCGCUGUUAUCUCCAGUGCUUAGGCUAAGCUAAGCUAACUGCUCAUGGUGGCUUCAGCUUAUGUGCUGCAGAAACAUUAUUUAGAUUAAUGUGUAUGUCUAAAAAAAUAUAUAUUUCUAAGUGUAAUUUAAUGCUCUACAGUCAAGUUAGAUACCCAAUUAACAGUAUAGUAACCUGGUUUCAUCCUGACAGCAGUCUCCUGCCUUGACUCUCUAAGACAAAACCACCUUAAGGUUUAGUUUCAGUCAUUAAUGAGGUGACGCCCACAUCAAUUGUAAUCGACUGAAUGCCUCCAUUAUUGGCUUGUAAGACAUUGCUGUUGUACCAUUAUCCCUUAAUUAUAUUGAAGGCAGAGCACUGCUGGUGCAGCACCCUCUCUCGUACAGUACAAAAAAAUCAGACGAGGUACUAAUCAUCCUUUAUAGCACACACAAGGCCCGAAGUGUUACCGCCUUUAUUGUUGCACUCUAAUGGAUUCAUUACCAAACAGUGAUUUAUUUGUUUAAGGCAAUGCACGGCUGGUUCAUGGCCUGAGAAUGGAGAGGUACACAUUUAUAUAUUCACACUUAAUGGAGAGUAAAAUAUUUUGGGGGGGGACAAAUCAAGAUCCACACAAAAACAGCAGGAAAUUCAAUAGACCAUUGACAACUAAUGUGUCCUUUGAGAAUUCUGACAAAAUGUCAACUCUGACAUUGGCAGCUGGGUACCUGAGUAUGAUUAAAUGAGAAAAUAAAUGCUAUAUGAAAUGAACAUGAAACUAAUUUUUGAAAAUGAUCUCAUCACCGAUUAUGUUGACUUUCACAGGUUGUAUUUGCUGAACAUCUGAAGAGUAAUUUUAGUGCUGACGCCUGACUAUAAUUCCAAACAGUCAUUCAUAAUUACAUCACUUGAGACCCCGAAGAUGCACCUGUUUCCUCUAUGGCCUGCUCUCCUACAGCCUGCUGCUGUGUUUCCUACAGACAAAAUAAUUCAAUUAUGGUGAUGAUUUUAUUGGGUUUCUGGACUGAAAUUCAAAUCACAUUGUUUCCUUUUUCAUGUUGCUGGCAACCCGACUGCUAGCCGACGGAUGACGGAAGCCAGGAUUAGCUCAGACUUGACAAUACUGUCACAGUGGAAAGACUACUGAUGUUCUUGCUAUCAAGAUUCAUUGAAUCAAUGUGGCUACUGCUAGCUGCUUUAAUACCUUUAACUCACGCUCCUGGUGUCCCUUUUCUUUUUUUGGGCAAUAGAGGAAAGGGAGCGAGUCACUCGAAAGAUUAAAUUUUGGAGCUUGCGUGAGGUAUGGAAUGAAGACCACUGACUUAGUGUUAUCAGCACACCAAUUAGCUCUCAUCUCCUCUGGUCCUGGCAGUUGAUAUGUCAAAUAUCAAAUUUCCACAUGGCGCGAUGCUUCAAACCCCUCCCUUUCAGCAAAUCAAAUGCUACCUGCACUCCAUACCUGUAUAGACCCUAUUCAUGGCAGCCAUAAUGAGAUGAAAUAGAAGGUGCUUUCUCUCUGCUCGGUGUAGUGUGACAGCAGGAAGUUAUAUCUCUGAUUCCCAUGCAGAUCUGACCUCCAACGUCUCAUCUGACUUGACCUACUUUCAUCACCUCAUAUUAUUCAAAUAUAUCCAAAUCUCCUUGCUUCCUGGACUCGCUGAGAGGAAAACGCUGCUCCAGAAACGCCUCGUCAGGAGUUUCGCCUUUAAUUCUGUGACUUUUUGACAUCCCUACUAUGGACAGACCAGUGCAGCUCUGCAAUGCACUAGCAUGACGCAUGACGACAUACAAUAUACAGCGUCCACUGCAAGGGGGCUAUCUAUCAAAACAAAACGAAAGAUGUUUGCCAAGUGCUGUUUGGAGGAGCGGGGUGAGGCAAAGGCUCAACUGGAGAUUCUGGACCCUCUGGAGAAUUGACACCUGGAGUCACUUCAGUCACAAUACUUCUCUGAUCCAGAACCGUUAACCGACGGGAGGAGGGCUCAGAGAUUAAUUUUAUCUUUCGGGAUUAAAAAGUGGAUUCAUCUUCACUCCUGUUUAUCAACCCGACUGCAGCAGAGAUCUCUUUAAAGAUGCUGUGUGAUGUUGCCUGCCGAUUAGCGCUGGAGUGGAAAUGUACUUCACUUCAUGAACAUAACGUUACAGAGAGGAGAGUCUCUGAUAGUUGUCACAGAAGGGGGGCGGCCUCCGACAGCCUGGCCUCCAUCAGGCAAGUCCUGACCCGUUCCCACUGAGCUCCAGCAGGGUCACCUGAGGUCUAUUAACAGAGAACAACCUGUGCCAGGGGAGGAGAUCGAAAGAAGGCAAACAGUGGAAGCUGAUGAAUGUGACUGGCUGCAUCGAUACUGCGGUCCUCGGGUUUCCCCUCUAAUCAGUAACAUGUUGUUCUUGUGACAACCCGCAGACACCCAAAUGUUAUUGAAUUCAUGAGCUAUUGCUGGAGAGAUUAUUUGUAAUUAAUCAACAGUGAAAAGCUGACUGCCACGAGAUAUCCAUUUCUGACGAGUGCUGGAUGCACACACAGGCUGUAAGAAACGUUUCGCAGCUACUGAGGUGGGCGUCCAGAAUGUGCUCGGUGCCUGAGAACCACUUUAGGUGUGAUUCAUUCUGACAGAAGACUCUGUGUUCUCCUGCUCGAGGAGACUUUUCCACAAUGCCUCGCUCCAGUUAGGGAAGUGAGUGUGAUGACCCAGCUCACCUUUUGCGCUGCCCAUUAUAGUGCAGUAUAUCUGCCAAA